GACGAACGCUGGCGGCGUGCUUAACACAUGCAAGUCGAACGGAGUGGCGAACGGGAGAGUAACACGUGGGUGAACUGACCUGCACUUCGGGAUAAGCCUGGGAAACUGGGUCUAAUACCGGACAGUGGGGGAUGGGCCCGCGGCAUAUCAGCUUGUCGGUGGGGUAAUGGCCUAACCAGGCGGCGACGGGUAGCCGGCCUGAGAGGGGGGACGGCCACAUUGGUACUGAGAGACGGCCCAGACUCCUACGGGAGGCAGCAGUGGGGAAGAUUGGACAAUGGGCGGAAGACUGAUGCAGCGACGCCGCGUGGGGGAUGACUGCCUUCGGGUUGUAAACUCCUUUGACGAUCGACGCGAUAGAUGAAGAAGAAGCACCGGCUAACUACGUGCCAGCCGCCGCGGUAAUAC
rnacentral:rRNA from 1 species